ACAGCAAGGAGUCAUCAUGUCAGGUAGUCCUGGGGCAUGGUCCUAGGGCUCAGGUCCUCCGAGAGAGAGAAAGAAAGAAGGAGAGAAUUAGAGAACGCACACUUAGAUUCACACAGGACACCGAAUUAGGACAGGAGAAGUACUCCAGAUA